GGAAUGGGACAUGAGUGGAAUGACACUUGCUACUACUGGAAGCGAUGGUGUAGUUCGCUUGUGGCAGUGCAACUUGAACGGAGUUUGGCAUGAGCAAGCAACAUUACAGCCCACUAGCUAGCCUGCUUAUAUGAUUUUCACAUUCAAGCUUGAACAAGAUUGCAAGAACCCAGUGAAACACAAGAUUCUGUGGUUUAUCCAUGUGACCGAUUUGUCGUCAGGCAUUUCAUUUUGUAAAGCUAAG
rnacentral:misc_RNA from 1 species